AUUAACAAAUGGAUGGGGCCUGCGUGUGGAGAUCAGCAGGUGGAAGAAUGCUUACGCAUCAUCAUCUGUGCGCCUAACUGUUCCCGUUUCUGCCGUUGACGUUGCUCCCUCUCCCACCGUUCAUUGUUUCUAGACCCUCACCGCUCGUUCGUGAACGUCUCUAGCCUAGGCAGCAUCGCAUCCAUCCGAGCACACGUACGCAUUCCACCACGUCGCUCGGCAGACUGAGUGAUCCUGGACGACAUGUGAGUAGACGUGCUUUGCAAAUACGAAUGAUGAUUUCAGCAUUAAUAAUUAUAUAUGCAGCAUGUGUUGCGUCUGUUGUAUGCCAGCUCUACGAUCCUCGCUGCCCGCAAAGGGAGCACAGACAUGGAUGUCUAUUCAUGGGGCGUCUAAUUGGUACAGGAGCAACUGUGAAUUUGCGUAUACCUUGCCUAAGAAUAACCUGCCAUCGAGAUGGAUCUGUCACCAGCAGAGGGUGUCCACAGGAGCCUGGAAGGAACCCUCAUCCCGGGGCCCCUCCUUUUCCCGGAGUUUGGCCGCACUGCUGUGACAUGUGCAGUUGAGUUCAGCCGAAAAUGAAGGGCAGUGGCUGAGCCGAACUGAUGAGGGCAAGAUUGCUACAGCGGGAGCAUGAUUCCGUCGUAUUCGUGACAUCGCUGAAGAAGUGUAAUUUACAAGAAUAAGCUUUUAUCUGUUGCAGUCAGUAAUCUGAAGUUGUUAUUUAAAAUAUAUAUUGUGCAAAACAAGCACGCUACUGCUGCGA